CAGCAGCCGCGGUAAUACGUAGGGUGCAAGCGUUAAUCGGAAUUACUGGGCGUAAAGCGUGCGCAGGCGGCUAUGCAAGACAGAUGUGAAAUCCCCAGGCUCAACCUGGGAACUGCAUUUGUGACUGCAUGGCUAGAGUACGGUAGAGGGGGAUGGAAUUCCGCGUGUAGCAGUGAAAUGCGUAGAUAUGCGGAGGAACACCGAUGGCGAAGGCAAUCCCCUGGACCUGUACUGACGCUCAUGCACGAAAGCGUGGGGAGCAAACAGGAUUAGAUACCCCGUAGUCCCUGUCUCUUAUACA
rnacentral:rRNA from 1 species